GUGGAAAAAGCCAGGGGUUAUGAAUAUGUUCCAAAGGCACUGUGUAGUGUCGGUCUGUUAAAAAACAAUAUACUGUAGGCCUGUUCAACAGUUUGGACUUAAUAUAAAUGUAUUGUCUUCUGUUAAUUAAACACUGACCUGUUAUUCUGUUUCCUGCAGCCCUGAUUCUAGGAGUGGUGUUUGGGAUCACUGGAGCAAUACUCAUCAUAGUCAUUGUUGUCCUGGCCAUGCAGAGCAAGAAGAAUCACAAAAGUGAUACAAAGAAAGUGAAAGAUGUCAAGCUGGAGACACAACUGCAAGAAGAACCAAUUGAGAUGGCGUAGAGAAGAGAAGACAACCAUGAAAGGAAAUUAGAAUGACUAGAACGCAUGAUUUCAUUCAUGUCAACGUCCAUGAUGAGUUGUCGGCAGCCAUAUUGAGUGUACACAUGCCAGUCAUUCUAAUUGUAGGGGAAAAACCAGCUCUGGCCUUCACCUGAAUGGCCCCUCUUAGGGUGAUAUCAUAACAUAGGCCUACAGUUGCAACUAACAAACUUCAAAUUCCAUAUAAUGUUUACCUCAUUUGUUAUUCAAAAAUAAUUUGUUUCUGUGUUGACAAUAUCGUAUCUGACUUCCCCAUCACAAAUGUACGCCAGGCUAUUUCCUCAUGGUUAUGUUUGACAUCUCAGUUAUUUUAUAAUGUAUUUUUUAUACACUCUCCACUUUUACAAUAAAAAUGUAUGUUUAUUUCAAGUAAAUUUGGUAACUACUCAAAUCUUCUCCACAGAUUUGAAAGAAUAAGCACUAUUCUUUAUCAAUUAGAUUCAAGUUUGUUAUUGAACUACUGAGUGUGCAACAAGAUUUAUCUGAUAUUUUAAUUGUUUUUAAUGUGUUUUUGUGCUACGAAAGGUUUGUUUGGUCUGUAUAAACAUUCUAAUAAUAAUAUUAACGUUCACAUAGGUUUUGUAGAAGCUACUAAAUUGUAUGUUUUUGUAGGACACGAUAUGAGAAUAAACCAAUACACAGUUUGAAAACA